UAGACGUUUAUAGGAGUAGUCCCCCCUUGCCAGGCAUUACUCGCCCCUCCCAUCUUCUCCUGAGUGCUCAUGCAAGGCCAAAGCCACAUUGGGGAUCUUCCAAUAAUUGAUGAUUACAUAGAUAGUUCUGAUAGCGAACUUGACCGUGCAGAAGCUAGGGGGUCAGCUGGGAGUGGGGGUGGAAAGGAUUGGUGUCCUAGCCUGAGCGAGGACACGGCGGCUGAGCACCCGAAAGCUCCACACACAACUACGCGGAAGCGCAGGGCUCCUUCACAGCUUAGUGAUACCAAAUAAGUAUGGAUUUCUAUUAUAUUGCAAUGUACUCGACUACUUUUGAGGUUUCAUCAAGUUGUUUUUCAUUUCUUCCUUUCUUUUCUUGAGUCCGGCGAGGAAGGCUCCUCGAUCAACGGCAUCUGGGGAUGAUGCCAAGACGGGAACGAAAGUCCCCUCCACACUGGAGGACCCAUCAACGGAGACAAGGAUCACUCUGCCAGACACUGCUACCUCGGCGAGUGGUUCGAAUAAGGAAGCUGCCGCCCAAGGGGAGAAAGGUGCGGCCACCAGCGAGUCCUCGGCAACGUCGGGUACCAUGGUGGUAUAGCCUCAGCCUCUUCGCAAGCUGACGGCACGAGGGAAACUCCCCAUCAAGAAGGCGACCUUGCGAGCCUUGGUGUGGAGGGUACAAGCGGCAGUGCGUCCGCAGCCCCCAAACCCACGGAAGCGGCUCCCAAGGAUGCCCCAGACACAGACGCCUAGUCUGCGGAAGAACUAGUGCCGUCCAUGCUCCGAGACUCGACAUAUCCUGACGUCGAUGAAGACCGGUAGCCAUUGGAGGAGAUCCCCACAGGUCCACCUCCACAAGAGGAUCCUGUGAGGAAGACUAUCGCUGAGCCUCGCCGGGAGGUUGUGACGUUGCUGGUGGUGGGGGCGAGUACUUCCAAUGCUCCAGCAGGGAGUACCCCGCCACCAGCCGAGAAGAUCAAGCUUGCACAGGAAAGUAUGGAGAAAUGCUAGAAACUUGUGCAAGGCCAGAUGUCUGAGUGCCAGAAGAUCAUGGCGGAGAUGGCCGAGCAAGAGAGCAGCAAGCCCCCAGAGGGCCAGGAGCUUCUCGCUCCGAGAGAGCAGGUGUCCAAGCUUACAGUGCACAAGGAGGCUCUCGAGGAGCGAGUGGCUGCUCAGAGUGAGAAGCAUAAGAAAUGCUCAAAAGAGCAAAGAGCACUCUGAAAAUCAUUGAAGAUUCAGGAGAGUAUGGUGCUAGAUUUAAAGCUUCUUAUGUACCAUCGUGCAGAUGAAAUCGAGAAGCUUCAAAAGAUGAAGGCCGACUAUGACGUGCAGCUGGUCGAGAUGUUGCAACAUGUCAAGGACUUGUCAGAGUCCAAUACCUCGUUGCAGCAUGAACUUGAUGAGCUAAAGGUCGUAACUCAAGCUAUUGUGGACAUGGUGGACAUCUCCGAGGAGGAUGCCGAGGCCCAUUCUUCUUGGUGGAACAACUUCAAAAAGUUCCCCAAGGAAUCAUGAAGUACCUCUCGAAGACCACCCGACAGUACGUGUCACACGUGCUCGGGUUGGUGAAGUUCUACUUGCCACAGGCUAACCUGGCUCCACUUGGCGAAGGCGAAGGCCUGAAUCCCGACUCUGACGAAGGCAAGUUCGACGAGUACCUUGGGGAGGUCAAGCCGGUAGCCGACAGGAUAGCCGACAGCUUGGAGCAGGACGCCUGAAUCUGAACUUAUGUGUUGUAAUAUCUUGCUGUGAGAUACUUUAUUGGCCAGUGUGCCACAAACACUCUUGUCGUGUACAAAUUUCAAUUUAUUUUGUAUUAAGUCACGAUGCUUGAGUGUUCCUUA